AAGUAAAUAUGAUCAAUAGGUAGGUCGACUGCAUUAAAAUCAUUAUGGGAUAAAUAGUGCAUUAAUGUCAGCAUCAAAAUUCACCUCUGCCGUGUUGUCAGAAGUUCCCCUAACCGAUUUUAAUAACGAUUCCCAUCGAUUUCUCCAACGCUGUUUUCUUUUAUUCUGGCAAUCAAGGAAGUCGGUAUCUCUAAGGCGCAGGUAAGAUGCAUCUAUGUAAGAAUCUUCUGUGCGUGGUAAGUAGAGCAAUUUAAACGAGUCUAAACAUAAUUUUGCUUGCAAUCCGGAAACCAAUUCUGCAGAUCUUAAUAACUUUGUUUGAAGGCGUGAAACCAAUUGCUCAACUGUUCUUUCUUUCUCUAUAUUUCUGCAAAGAAAGGGACAACGAUAAUUUUUAUAAGAUAUUUCUUCAGUAAGUUUUUGUAUACGAUAAUUUUGAACAUAUUUUUUCCAAACUCGUCUCUGUGUAUCCAAACUUUGAUCCACAAUAAGAUUCGCUCGCUUCAUUAUUUUGAUUCCAAAUGAUUUAAAUUUGUUUAUCCAACAAAAUCGAAACAAAAUUUCAUCAGGAUUCAAAAGCUUUUCAAUUUCCAAGCGAUAAAGAAAGUCAUCAUAAUUCUUCUUAGGCGAAGCAGAACUAUUUUGUUCGACUAAACUAGUAACGAAUUUGUAUUUUCCAUCGGAAACGAUGUGGUGGACUUGUUUAGCAGCAGACCAAACGAGUUUAUCAAUAGUAUAUAUUUUAUAGGCUUUAUUGCCAUAAUAAAACCGCAGAUAGUCCUCGAAGGCACUUUGAUCAACUAUCCCAUAUAUUAAUCGAAGAAUCAUCACAUAAGUAUUUUCGUAAUGAGUUUUUUCAUCAGGGACAUCUGAAAGAUCAUUCCACCUAUCGCGCCAAAUCUUUUGUUUUUGAGAUACUGGGUUUGGUAUUAUACGCUGUUGGAUAAUGGACACUUGAUCCUCCAAACGCUGAAGCUCAUAAAGCCUUUCGUAUAAUAAGUUAAAAAGUCUAAAAAAUACGUACAUAGAAGAAUAUCCAAACUGUUCUUUAUCGACGUCGUCAUGCAUUUCAUUCUCCGUAUCACCAGCAUGAUCUUGAUGUUCCAAAAGACUAUCUGGAUGACUUGGAUAUUUGAGACUGGCUUUAAUGGCUGCAGCAGGUUGUGAAAGCUGUUUCUUAGAAACCGGCGUUACGUUUCCAGAUUCAUCACUUAAAGAGUUUUGAGAGUUAGAUUGUGAUUUGUUACCGGAUUCUUCUUUUUUGCGAGCAGCUGCAGCUGAACGACUUUCGCGUUGACCAUUGAUUUUAGGUUGUUUUACAAAUUCCGUCAACUGGGUUAUAGAAUUAGAUCUUUUCCGACGUACAGGCUUGUUACCAACUAUAUUCGGGGCAUUCACAUCGUAAUCAGGACCACGAAAAACUUGAUCCAGGAAUAUCGAAAAUUUAUCCUUUUCAAGACCAAAAUGUAAAGGCAAUAUAUUCUUGAAAAAAUGCUCAACUUUCUUUAAACCAGAGGGAGAGUUACAUACAAUGUAUGUGCAUACCAUAUAACAAGUAUCAAAAAGUACUAUUUCGUUGUCAUAUACAAAAGAAAAUUCGAAAGCUGAUCUACUUCGCAAAGGAAAAUGGAGCUUCGCUUGCGAUCGUAGAAUGUCGGCUUCUGCUAAGAGAAACUUUGAAGAUACAUUCUUCUUAUCUCUUGCCUUAAAAUAAACGCAUUGUGAAUCUAAGCUCUUAUCGUAAUUUUUAAACUCAAUACUUCGCCAUCCAGGUUGAAGACUUCUUUUAACAGACUUCCACUCUUCGUUUUUUUCUUCUAAUCUGCUGAUUACCAAUGGUAAUGUGAGGCAAGGCAUUCUUUCCAAGGCCUUAAACAUUUCCUCUGCAUGCUCACUGGUAUAAACAAGCUUAAUAGUUUUCUUGUAUAUACUUUUUGAUGGUAAACCUAGCCCUUCCUCGAGAGUAUAUGUUUCUCUUUCCUCUUCCGGCAAUUCAUUUAUACGGUUCUGAAUUUUUUUAAGAGACUUGAUUGUCCAGGAAGUAGCUUCAAUAUGCCGAUCAAAUUCAUAACGUUCCUCUUCCAACUUUGUCAUUGCCUCUUCAUAAGGCGUUUUCCUCUGAACAAUGAAACCGCUUUCUUCAGAUGCCCAAGUUGGAUGACUGACCCAGUCAUCAUUAAGUAUACCCCAUGCAAAAUCAUCUCUACCGCUGCAAGAAAUAUUGCGUUCUUCGACAGGAAGCAAUCGGUAACUCGGGCCACAUUCCGGGAAGUCUGAGCAAGCGGAAUUGUAUACAGAUAAAAACUCUUCCGGACUCAAACUAGUAAGGCUUAAAAAGCUUCUCCAAAGUCCCGAAUUCGAUUUAAGAAACCCAAACCCACGACUCACCAGAAUAUUUCUAUCAAUUAUCCCUUGAACGUACAAAUUCAGGAGUUUUAAAAAUUCGUGGUAAGUUUCUACAUCGGUAAGUACAUUUUUCACAUUUUUGAAAAAGUCACUGCUCUCAUUUGAUAAAUGUGAAAAUGGUGAGAGGUUGUCCGGCCUUGAUUGACUAAGCAAAUCAGAAAUAUUACUCAACGUAAAUUGGGAACUCUGAAUUCCUCUUAAUGGAAACGAUCCUAGAGGAGGUUUACUCCCAAAAAAGAUGGAGCUUGGUAAAAAGUUGUGAAACUCGUGGGCUAAAGAUGGAUGCUCCGCUAGCAAAGACGUUACAAUAGUCUGAAGCUCAGAAAGCGAACACUCAGAGUUUUUAAACUUACGAAGACUAUCCUGUAAUUUAAAGAACUGUUCGGGAUUGCUCAAUAAUGCUCGUCGAACUCGUGAAACAAAUCCUAUAGCUCUAUGAUAGGUACAAGGUAAGUCGUUGUAAGUAGCUACAUAAGUAGACGGUGUAGAAACUGGACCAGAUGGGGUGGUAAAUUGCAAUGUGAAGUUGGCACCGCUAUUCGAUAAAAGGUAUUUAUAAGACGAGGGCAAAAAGAUGUUCAAAUAUUCUAAAAGAUCUGGGUAAUCUCUUAAGAUUACAGAUAUUCUUUCAAUAAACCCGGGAAAAUCGACACUAAUGUUCAUGUUAAUAAGUGAAUAGUAAUAAAAAAAGAGCUAUCUCAAAGCAACUCAGUAAAUAAGCCAUAUAUACAUUUCAUUGUGUAAAGCCUUCACAACAUCCAUGAAAGCGCUAUAAACAUAAGGACGAUGACACAGUCUUUGACCCAACUUUUGAACGAAUGCCUUUAUAUCAAGCUCGGGGAGUGCGGUACCAUUAGGGGAAAAAUCAUGGACUAAUUGAUUCUGCAUCUCGGCCACUAACGUUGAGUUGUCUAACAACAUUGGUUAAAAUGAGUUAUGUAUUAAAUUGAUACGUACCAUUUUUUAAUAUCGCUAGUGUUUGUUCCAUGUAUUUUGAUCUUUAACCAUCAAAUGACUAGGAAUACGAUCUCGUUUAUUUUGGAGGUGAUGAUUUGGGAAACGGCAAAUGCAACUAAGCGCACAAACUCGUCAACGCAUUACAUGAACUGACGCUGAUAGCCAAAGUUCAAAUGAUUUAUCAAGACAUGAACACAAAUACCACAUUGGAUGGUGUUUUACACUUACAACGAAUACUUUAGAAAAAAUACUAACGAGAAGAAUCAAACCCAAUAUAAUUGUUAAAAAAUAUUCCUUUUAAAUAAUUAAACACUACAUCUAAACAUUAUUUUCUAAGAAUAAUAGAGAUUUAAUAAAACCGAAACUAUGCAUCGUCUUCAUCAAGAAUAAGAAAUCGAAAACUAUCUACUUUCAAAGUUAAGUUGUCGACUACUUUACUUAAGUGCAUUCGCAAAACAAACAACCAAGAUGGUGAAAUAAAGUUUUUAAAUACGAACAGGAAUGGCAGAAGAAAUUACGCUUUAAAAAUGAAACAAAGUAAACAUUCAAUAUAAAAUUUUACCUCAAGAAUAAAUCAAAAGAUGUGACACAAUAGAUUAACCACGUUAAAUUUAUAAUGUUCGCAAACUAAGACGAGGAACCUUGGUCACAUAAAAGCGGAUGAUUGGCGAAUUCUGGUUGAAUGGUAACAUCAUAUAUACCAAAAGAUUGAAGGACAUUACGGAUAUCCGUAGUAAGCUUUGUAUAAGACUCUCCCUUAUCAUCAGGAAGUGUAACGCAGACAUGAACAGUGGCAAUUAAUUUAACGUCCGAAAGCUGCCAGAUGUGGAGUUCAUGAACAGAUUCCACGCCGUCUAGAUGAUUAAUUAGGUUGGAAACAUCAUCCAGUUUGAUGCUUUGAGGAGCAACUUGUAAUAAGAUGAGAGCAGCGGAUUUACAGAGAGGAAUUGCGCUAAAAAGAAUAAUGAAAGUAAGAAGGAUACUAAUGCAUGGGUCAAAGAGGAAACGCCAAGAAUAGUCAGUAUACUUGAUGAAUAAAGCAGCACUAAUAACACCAAUAUUACCGAGAGCAUCACCCAAGACAUGAAGAAAGACACCAUGCAUAUUCAAAUUUCGUUUCUUCGUUUGUUUUGGUGCAUCUUGUUCAAUACUGCCAUGGUUGUUGACUGGCUUUGAAGUACCAGCACCAUUAUGAUUACCAGUGUAACUCAAUAAAGGAGAAGAUUCGGUAGCAGAGUCUGCGACUUGAGUGUGUGUAUGGCUGACUUCUUGUUGACUGGUAUUACAACGAUGAACGAUAGUCGAAGGUAAAACGGAUUCAAUAUCAUCUUCUUCAGGAAAAUCGUAAUUUUGAGCGGUAUGGGUGUGAGGAUGAUCAUGACCAUGGUCAUGAAAUAAAAAGAUACCAACGAAAUUGCUUAGCAGACCUAAAGAACCAACAAAGAACAUAAGGGUGGGAUUGCUGACAGAAGGAGGCUCAAUGAAGCGCUCUAUGGCUUCCAUAAAAAUGAACAUGCAAAGGGCAAUGAGAAAUACACCGUUCGACAAAGCACCUAAAAUCUCUGCACGUUGCCAGCCAUAUGUGUAUUUUGGUUCGUGAGAUGUUGAAUGUGCUAGACGAGUAGCCCAGAGAGCGACCAGUAAACUGACAAUGUCAUUUAACAUAUGAAAUGAAUCAGCAAUUAGGGCAAGUGAAUCGAUCGCAUAACCAGUAAUAAUUUCGAUGAAGAAAAAAGUAACAUCAAUACCUAAUAAAAGGAUAAUCCGAGUUUGUCUUGCGAGGUCGAACAUAGUUUGAAAACGAAAAGUCACCAAUUUCAAAAAAAUGGUAAGGGUUGAAUUUCACAGGGAGAAAAAGGAAUAAGGUAAAUUUAGAAUGAAAGGUGGCUUUUUAAAAAUGAAUUUAAAUAA